CAUGAGUUGACGGUACUGAAUAAGAAGCACCGGCUAACUACGUGCCAGCAGCCGCGGUAAUACGUAGGGUGCGAGCGUGAAUCGGAAUUACUGGGCGUACAGCGUGCGCAGGCGGUUCAGUAAGUCGGAUGUGAAAUCCCCGGGCUCAACCUGGGAACUGCGUUCGAAACUGCAAGGCUAGAGUGUGUCAGAGGGGGGUAGAAUUCCACGUGUAGCAGUGAAAUGCGUAGAGAUGUGGAGGAAUACCAAUGGCGAAGGCAGACCCCUGGGAUAACACUGACGCUCAUGCACGAAAGCGUGGGGAGCAAACAGGAUUAGAUACCCUGGUAGUCCAAGCCCUAAACGAUGUCAACUAGUUGUAGGUAGAGUAAAAUCUAUGAGUAACGUAGCUAACGCGUGAAGUUGAGCGCCUGGGGAGUACGGUCGCACGAUUAAAGCUCAAAGGAAUUGACGGGGGUCCGCACAAGCGGUGGAUUAUGUGGAUCAGUCGAUGCAACGGAAAACUUACUGGC
rnacentral:rRNA from 1 species